ACGCGAAGAACCUUACCAGGGCUUGACAUGUCCGGAAUCCCCUGGAAACUUGGGAGUGCCCUCGGGAACCGGAACGCAGGUGGUGCAUGGCUGUCGUCAGCUCGUGUCGUGAGAUGUUGGGUUAAGUCCCGCAACGAGCGCAACCCUCGUCUUUAGUUGCCAUCAUUAAGUUGGGCACUCUAGAGAGACUGCCGGUGACAAACCGGAGGAAGGUGGGGAUGACGUCAAGUCAGCAUGCCCCUUACGCCCUGGGCAACACACGUACUACAAUGCUUCGGACAGAGGGCGGCAAGACAGCGAUGUCGAGCCAAUCCCAUAAACCGAGGCUCAGUUCAGAUUGCAGGCUGCAACUCGCCUGCAUGAAGGCGGAAUCGCUAGUAAUCGCCGGUCAGCAUACGGCGGUGAAUCCGUUCCCGGGUCUUGUACACACCG
rnacentral:rRNA from 1 species